GACGAAUAUAAAACGAGGGCCAGCCGACGAGAGCAUACAUGUCGCAGUGAUAGAGCUGUGAAAGCCUUUCUAUAGAUGAAGAGGUCCCAAUGAAGAGCAGUGGCUCUCAGUCCUGGUCCUGGGGACUCAAAUUACCGUGUAGGGCACUGCAAGGUUGGGUGACCAGGGCCAUCUGGGACUGCCUCCUGGAGGAAUUCAGGCAUGUGAAGGCUACCUGUGUCCUUCAUAUCUUGAUGAUGGAGACGAGGACCAGGAGGGGAUCUGUAGCUCCCGGCGUGUGCCAGAGGAGAAGUCUAGUGCUCUGUAGGAUGUUUCAACGAUGGGGUCCAACAACGCAGUAAGACGCAAUCUGAGUGUGGGAGAUCUUCACCUCCUACUUCUUUGAAGAGGGUUCUGUUCCCUAGCAACACCAUAGACUACACUAUGCACGACCAAAGGCUCUUUUAAAGAGUCAUUCACAUUACAAUAAGAGUAUUCUUCCAUUUACUUAGCUAUAUCAACUGCAGUUAUUCAAUUGUUUCUCUCCCUUUGACUUCUACUUCUCAGGCGAGGGUGCUGUUUAGGUAAGGGUGUAAUGUCUGUACAAAAACAAAUCUAUUUUAAGCCACCCAUAUUGAAAAAAUGUAGAACAAUUAGACACCCUGUAACCCACGCCGACAAACUCAUGCAUCAAUCUGAUUGAUGGAUUGUGUUGUGCAGUAAGCAGGUUCAGGUGUAUAACUGUGGCUCCUUACACCUUCAAAGAAUAAGCAAGAGGGCCAACCAUGGAGAAUAGUAAGACACUUCAUCAUUUCUAUAACUACGCUAUAUUGUUUGUCCUUGUGUGUCUGUUCAUGUUUUUCAGCAUAGAGUACUCUGCAGCCACUUAGUGUGGACACCAGGUUAUAUCAGCUGUGUUGGUGAACCCCUCCCGCAUCUGAACUGGCUACAUAGAGGGCACAGCAUGAUCAGAGGUAUGUUUUGAUGUGAGAGAGGAUGCCAACCCCCAGUCCCAUCAUCGGCACCUCACCCCCUCUUAAUAAGAUAACCUUCGGGCCGACUGGGGGCCCAAGGCUGAUAAGGAGACACCUCUACAGACACUAUGUAAUUGUGAUGAACUGAGAGAAUAUUAGGGUAGCACUGAUUCAUUAAUCAUAUGCUGUCUUCCCUGCUUCUGUGUUCUUCCCUUUGUCUUUUACACCUCUAGCCACCUCUUUCUUCCUCUGUUUUUAUAAUGUACAACAGAUGUGCAUUGAAGUAAAGAUUGAACUUGUAUUUAUAAUUUAAUAUACAAUUACAAUUAUAAUAUUUAUAAUGCAUGUAUUUAUAACACUUGGAUAAUGAACUUC